CUCGUUCUCCGACUGUCACUUGGUCUUUCUGUCUGUCUUUCAUGAAUAAGUGUAUAUAUGAUGAGUAUGAAAAGUGAUGAGUGACAAAUAUCUACAUAUGUACAUAUCAUGCAUGGAAACUCUUUCUAUCAUAAAACGGGAAGGCAAUUAAACGUUGGCAGACGUGCGUUUUUAUUUCAAUGAUUAUUUAUCAAACAAUGAAAGUAUAUAUUGACAAUGCUAGCUUAUAUAAGCAGUUUAUCUUUAUUCAUCAGUGUAUAUUCUAUAUUCUAUCUCGUCUUGUCUAAUGGAUGUCUAAUGGAUCUAAUAGAAGAAAUAUGUAUAGUGAAUUCGAAUAUAUAUACGUAUGUAAUGUUUUCAAUUUUGAUACAUAUUAUAUUUAACGACAUUCCAUAAAUGUCUAUUCUAUAAAUUAUAAGUACCGAUCCCUAUUUUAAUUUAUAGUCAUUUAUUGAAUUUUUAAUUCUACGCUACUUUUCAAUUGGUUUAAAGUUCAACGAUUGCGUCCAAUCCAUAUAUGUACGACUGCAAGUUUUCUGAUACUGUGUAUGCGAUUCGUAAAAAUAUUACAUAAUUUCUCAUAAGCUGAUAACACAUUUGCGAUGGAACACAUGAGAAAAAGACAUGUAGCAAUAAAAGUGAAAAUAAAGUAGAUCAACAAAUUGUCUAAUUAUAA